GAAAGGCCGCGCAUGAGGAAAGUCCGGGCUUCACAGGGCAAGGGUAGCUGCUAACGGCAGCCGGAGGCGACUCUAGGGAAAGUGCAACAGAAAGAAACCGCCGUUUUAAACGGUAAGGAUGGAAAGGCGAGGUAAGAGCUCACCAGCGUGUGGGAGACCAUGCGGCUAUGUAAACCCUAUCCGAAGCAACACCGCAAAGGGGCGAAACACCGCUUGCCCGGCGGGCCCCGUCCAGGUGGCUUGAACCCCUCGGCGACGAUGGGUCUAGAAAGAUUGCUGUUUUUAACAGAACUCGGCUUAUAUGCCUGGUCGU
rnacentral:RNase_P_RNA from 1 species